rnacentral:rRNA from 1 species
GCAAGUCGAACGCGAACGGCUCCUUCGGGAGCCUAGUAGAGUGGCAAACGGGUGAGUAACGCGUGGGUAACGUACCCUGAUCCUGGGAAUAACCCUCGGAAACGAGGGCUAAUACCGAAUGUGGCGAACGACCGGUUGGUCGCUCGCUAAAGGUGGCCUCUUCUAUGCUGCCGGGUUGGGAUCGGCCCGCGUCCCAUUAGCUAAUUGGUGAGGUAACGGCUCACCAAGGCCACGAUGGGUAGCCGGCCUGAGAGGGUGUACGGCCACACUGGCACUGAGACAAGGGCCAGUCCCCUAUGGGAGGCGCAGGCGGGAAUAGUUCACAAUGGGCGAAAGCCUGAUGACGCGACGCCGCGUGAGCGAAGAAGACCUUCGGGUUGUAAAGCUCUGUCAGGAGGGAAGAAGGCUCUACGGGUUAAUAGCCCGUGGAAUUGACGGUACCUCCAGAGGAAGCCCCGGCUAAAUACGUGCCAGCAGCCGCGGUAAUACGUAUGGGGCAAGCGUUGUCCGGAUUUACUGGGCGUAGAGGGCGCGUAGGCGGUCUGUUAAGUCGAAGGUGACAUCCUCGGGCUCAACUCGAGAAUUGCCUUCGAUACUGGCAAACUAGAGUGGCGGAGAGGAAAGCGGAACUCUUGGUGUAACGGUGGAAUGUGUAGAUAUCAAGAGGAACACCGGUGGCGAAGGCGGCUUUCUGGACGCACACUGACGCUCAGGCGCGAAAGCGUGGGUAGCAGACAGGAUUAGAUACCCUGGUAGUCCACGCCAUAAACGAUGGGUACUAGGUGUCGGGGGUAUCGACCCCUACCGGUGCCGCAGUUAACGCACUAAGUACC